rnacentral:rRNA from 1 species
UUAAGCGACUAAGCGUACACGGUGGAUGCCCUGGCAGUCAGAGGCGAUGAAGGACGUGCUAAUCUGCGAUAAGCGUCGGUAAGGUGAUAUGAACCGUUAUAACCGGCGAUUUCCGAAUGGGGAAACCCAGUGUGUUUCGACACACUAUCAUUAACUGAAUCCAUAGGUUAAUGAGGCGAACCGGGGGAACUGAAACAUCUAAGUACCCCGAGGAAAAGAAAUCAACCGAGAUUCCCCAGUAGCGGCGAGCGAACGGGGAGCAGCCCAGAGCCUGAAUCAGUGUGUGUGUUAGUGGAAGCGUCUGGAAAGGCGCGCGAUACAGGGUGACAGCCCCGUACACAAAAAUGCACAUGCUGUGAGCUCGAUGAGUAGGGCGGGACACGUGGUAUCCUGUCUGAAUAUGGGGGGACCAUCCUCCAAGGCUAAAUACUCCUGACUGACCGAUAGUGAACCAGUACCGUGAGGGAAAGGCGAAAAGAACCCCGGCGAGGGGAGUGAAAAAGAACCUGAAACCGUGUACGUACAAGCAGUGGGAGCACGCUUAGGCGUGUGACUGCGUACCUUUUGUAUAAUGGGUCAGCGACUUAUAUUCUGUAGCAAGGUUAACCGAAUAGGGGAGCCGAAGGGAAACCGAGUCUUAACUGGGCGUUAAGUUGCAGGGUAUAGACCCGAAACCCGGUGAUCUAGCCAUGGGCAGGUUGAAGGUUGGGUAACACUAACUGGAGGACCGAACCGACUAAUGUUGAAAAAUUAGCGGAUGACUUGUGGCUGGGGGUGAAAGGCCAAUCAAACCGGGAGAUAGCUGGUUCUCCCCGAAAGCUAUUUAGGUAGCGCCUCGUGAAUUCAUCUCCGGGGGUAGAGCACUGUUUCGGCAAGGGGGUCAUCCCGACUUACCAACCCGAUGCAAACUGCGAAUACCGGAGAAUGUUAUCACGGGAGACACACGGCGGGUGCUAACGUCCGUCGUGAAGAGGGAAACAACCCAGACCGCCAGCUAAGGUCCCAAAGUCAUGGUUAAGUGGGAAACGAUGUGGGAAGGCCCAGACAGCCAGGAUGUUGGCUUAGAAGCAGCCAUCAUUUAAAGAAAGCGUAAUAGCUCACUGGUCGAGUCGGCCUGCGCGGAAGAUGUAACGGGGCUAAACCAUGCACCGAAGCUGCGGCAGCGACGCUUAUGCGUUGUUGGGUAGGGGAGCGUUCUGUAAGCCUGCGAAGGUGUGCUGUGAGGCAUGCUGGAGGUAUCAGAAGUGCGAAUGCUGACAUAAGUAACGAUAAAGCGGGUGAAAAGCCCGCUCGCCGGAAGACCAAGGGUUCCUGUCCAACGUUAAUCGGGGCAGGGUGAGUCGACCCCUAAGGCGAGGCCGAAAGGCGUAGUCGAUGGGAAACAGGUUAAUAUUCCUGUACUUGGUGUUACUGCGAAGGGGGGACGGAGAAGGCUAUGUUGGCCGGGCGACGGUUGUCCCGGUUUAAGCGUGUAGGCUGGUUUUCCAGGCAAAUCCGGAAAAUCAAGGCUGAGGCGUGAUGACGAGGCACUACGGUGCUGAAGCAACAAAUGCCCUGCUUCCAGGAAAAGCCUCUAAGCAUCAGGUAACAUCAAAUCGUACCCCAAACCGACACAGGUGGUCAGGUAGAGAAUACCAAGGCGCUUGAGAGAACUCGGGUGAAGGAACUAGGCAAAAUGGUGCCGUAACUUCGGGAGAAGGCACGCUGAUAUGUAGGUGAAGUCCCUCGCGGAUGGAGCUGAAAUCAGUCGAAGAUACCAGCUGGCUGCAACUGUUUAUUAAAAACACAGCACUGUGCAAACACGAAAGUGGACGUAUACGGUGUGACGCCUGCCCGGUGCCGGAAGGUUAAUUGAUGGGGUCAGCGCAAGCGAAGCUCUUGAUCGAAGCCCCGGUAAACGGCGGCCGUAACUAUAACGGUCCUAAGGUAGCGAAAUUCCUUGUCGGGUAAGUUCCGACCUGCACGAAUGGCGUAAUGAUGGCCAGGCUGUCUCCACCCGAGACUCAGUGAAAUUGAACUCGCUGUGAAGAUGCAGUGUACCCGCGGCAAGACGGAAAGACCCCGUGAACCUUUACUAUAGCUUGACACUGAACAUUGAGCCUUGAUGUGUAGGAUAGGUGGGAGGCUUUGAAGUGUGGACGCCAGUCUGCAUGGAGCCGGCCUUGAAAUACCACCCUUUAAUGUUUGAUGUUCUAACGUUGACCCGUAAUCCGGGUUGCGGACAGUGUCUGGUGGGUAGUUUGACUGGGGCGGUCUCCUCCUAAAGAGUAACGGAGGAGCACGAAGGUUGGCUAAUCCUGGUCGGACAUCAGGAGGUUAGUGCAAUGGCAUAAGCCAGCUUGACUGCGAGCGUGACGGCGCGAGCAGGUGCGAAAGCAGGUCAUAGUGAUCCGGUGGUUCUGAAUGGAAGGGCCAUCGCUCAACGGAUAAAAGGUACUCCGGGGAUAACAGGCUGAUACCGCCCAAGAGUUCAUAUCGACGGCGGUGUUUGGCACCUCGAUGUCGGCUCAUCACAUCCUGGGGCUGAAGUAGGUCCCAAGGGUAUGGCUGUUCGCCAUUUAAAGUGGUACGCGAGCUGGGUUUAGAACGUCGUGAGACAGUUCGGUCCCUAUCUGCCGUGGGCGCUGGAGAACUGAGGGGGGCUGCUCCUAGUACGAGAGGACCGGAGUGGACGCAUCACUGGUGUUCGGGUUGUCAUGCCAAUGGCACUGCCCGGUAGCUAAAUGCGGAAGAGAUAAGUGCUGAAAGCAUCUAAGCACGAAACUUGCCCCGAGAUGAGUUCUCCCUGACUCCUUGAGAGUCCUGAAGGAACGUUGAAGACGACGACGUUGAUAGGCCGGGUGUGUAAGCGCAGCGAUGCGUUGAGCUAACCGGUACUAAUGAACCGUGAGGCUUAACCUU